GUGAACGCUGGCGGUAGGCCUAACACAUGCAAGUCGAACGGCAGCACAGUAAGAGCUUGCUCUUACGGGUGGCGAGUGGCGGACGGGCGAGGAAUACAUCGGAAUCUACUUUUUCGUGGGGGAUAACGUAGGGAAACUUACGCUAAUACCGCAUACGACCUACGGGUGAAAGCAGGGGAUCUUCGGACCUUGCGCGAUUGAAUGAGCCGAUGUCGGAUUAGCUAGUUGGCGGGGUAAAGGCCCACCAAGGCGACGAUCCGUAGCUGGUCUGAGAGGAUGAUCAGCCACACUGGAACUGAGACACGGUCCAGACUCCUACGGGAGGCAGCAGUGGGGAAUAUUGGACAAAGGGCGCAAGCCUGAUCCAGCCAUACCGCGUGGGUGAAGAAGGCCUUCGGGUUGUAAAGCCCUUUUGUUGGGAAAGAAAAGCAGCAGGUUAAUACCCCGCUGUUCUGACGGUACCCAAAGAACAAGCACCGGCUAACUUCGUG
rnacentral:rRNA from 1 species